rnacentral:rRNA from 1 species
UACGUAGGGUGCAAGCGUUAUCCGGAAUUAUUGGGCGUAAAGAGCUCGUAGGCGGUUUGUCGCGUCUGCUGUGAAAACUGGAGGCUCAACCUCCGGCCUGCAGUGGGUACGGGCAGACUAGAGUGCGGUAGGGGAGAUUGGAAUUCCUGGUGUAGCGGUGAAAUGCGCAGAUAUCAGGAGGAACACCGAUGGCGAAGGCAGGUCUCUGGGCCACUACUGACGCUGAGAAGCGAAAGCAUGGGGAGCGAACAGG